rnacentral:lncRNA from 1 species
CUCCGGGGACGCGCGGUUGGAAGUUGCACCGUGACGUGGUCAGAUCGGAUGAUAGAAUUUUGAAACCUCCCCCGCAUUAAGGCAAGAAAGGUGCCUGUUUUUUCCGAAGUGAGCCUGCUUGACUCCUUUGAUUUUUCUCUGGGAUUCUUCAUCCUCCAUCAAGUUGAUCGAGCCCUCUGGGUCUUGGUCAGUUUCCUGACAUCUCUAUGAAGUUCAGUGACCCAGACUGAGUCCACGUCUCCAAUGAGGUUCUGACUAAUGCAGAGUCUAACAGAAAGAUUACUGGACAUGUCAUGCACUAUUAAUAACCCCUGUUAUCAAGGAUUUUUUUUUUUUCACAAUAGGAAUGAACAGAGUUCUGACUCAUUCUAGGUUUGUGGUAAAUUGCAGAUCACUUUCUGCUUUAUUUAGCCGGAGUCCCUGUCAUCAUCUUUCUCCUUCUCUAAAUCUGCCCUCAUAAUUACCAUGUCUUCCCCAAACGUUCUUCAACUGUGAAUAGCCCUAAGCACUACUCAGAGUGGGUGACAGCUCUCUUAUUUGGUGCUGGGGGACACACAAACCCUUGGACAAACAAUUGUCACUGUGUGCCAAGAAGCUGAAAAAUUCUCCAUGCCUCACAGCCAUAAUUACACUUCUGGUAGCAUAUUCUAAGGAAGUCAUCCCAUGUACAGGAAAAGCUGCAAUGUGUCAGGAUGUUCAUUCCAGCAAUAUUUAUAGUAGUGAAAAACUGAAAGCAACCAAAUGCCCAAGAAAAAAAUUACAGUAUAUCCACUGGAUGGAAUAGUAUGAAGCCAUUUAGGACAGAUUAUGAAAACCCUGUGGCAGUAUGGGAAAAUGUUUGCUAAGUUAUAUGAAAAAAUAAGGACACAAAAUAACAUAAGAUACAUUCCCCAGGGAUAUAGUCAGCAAAGUCUAGAAUGAAGAAAAUUAGGACAAACACUCAAUUCCCUUAACAAAUAAAAUUGGGGCCAGGUAUGAUGACUCACGCCUGUAAUCCCAGUACUUUGGGAGGCCAAGGCUUGAGUCCAGGAGUUCGAGACCAUCCUAGACAACAUGGUAAAACCCCAUGUCUACAAAAAAUACAAAAAUUAGCUGGGCAUGGUGGUGUGUCUAUAGUUGCAGCUACUCAGGAGGCUGAGGUGGGAGGAUCAGUUGAGCCCGGGAGGUCAAGGCUGCAGUGACCUGUGAUUGUGCCACUGCAUUCUAGUCUGGGCAGCAGAGUGAGACCCUGUCUCAAAAAAAAAAAAAA